rnacentral:rRNA from 1 species
UACGUAGGUGACUAGCGUUGUCCGGAUUUACUGGGCGUAAAGAGCGCGCAGGCGGUCGUUCAAGUCGAGUGUGAAAGCCCCCGGCUCAACUGGGGAGGGUCAUUCGAUACUGAUCGACUCGAAGGCAGGAGAGGGAAGCGGAAUUCCCGGUGUAGUGGUGAAAUGCGUAGAUAUCGGGAGGAACACCAGUGGCGAAGGCGGCUUCCUGGCCUGUUCUUGACGCUGAGGAGCGAAAGCCAGGGGAGCAAACGGG